UGGGGAAUCUUAGACAAUGGGGGAAACCCUGAUCUAGCCAUGCCGCGUGAGUGAUGAAGGCCCUAGGGUCGUAAAGCUCUUUCGCCAGGGAUGAUAAUGACAGUACCUGGUAAAGAAACCCCGGCUAACUGCGUCCGAGCAGCCGCGGUAAUACGGAGGGGGUUAGGGUUGUUCGGAAUUACUGGGCGUAAAGCGCACGUAGGCGGACUGUUAAGUCAGAGGUGAAAUCCCGGGGCUCAACCCCGGAACUGCCUUUGAUACUGGCAGUCUUGAGUUCGAGGGAGGUGAGUGGAAUUCCGAGUGUAGAGGUGAAAUUCGUAGAUAUUCGGAGGAACACCAGUGGCGAAGGCGGCUCACUGGCUCGAUACUGACGCUGAGGUGCGAAAGUGAGGGGAGCAAACAGGAUUAGAUACCCGUGUAGUCC
rnacentral:rRNA from 1 species